AAUGAAGUGCCUGAAAAAGGGAUAUCAUGAUAGGAUAUAUUAUAUAAUUUUACAUUAUCUUCAUUA
rnacentral:tRNA from 1 species